rnacentral:tRNA from 2 species
GGACAGGUGUCCGAGCGGCUGAAGGAGCAGCAUUGGAAAUGCUGUAUACGAGUAAUCGUAUCGGGGGUUCGAAUCCCCCCCUGUCCG